AGUGAACGCUGGCGGUAGGCCUAACACAUGCAAGUCGAACGGCAGCACAGUAAGAGCUUGCUCUUACGGGUGGCGAGUGGCGGACGGGUGAGGAAUACAUCGGAAUCUACUUUUUCGUGGGGGAUAACGUAGGGAAACUUACGCUAAUACCGCAUACGACCUACGGGUGAAAGCAGGGGAUCUUCGGACCUUGCGCGAUUGAAUGAGCCGAUGUCGGAUUAGCUAGUUGGCGGGGUAAAGGCCCACCAAGGCGACGAUCCGUAGCUGGUCUGAGAGGAUGAGCAGCCACACUGGAACUGAGACACGGUCCAGACUCCUACGGGAGGCAGCAGUGGGGAAUAUUGGACAAUGGGCGAAAGCCUGAUCCAGCCAUACCGCGUGGGUGAAGAAGGCCUUCGGGUUGUAAAGCCCUUUUGUUGGGAAAGAAAAGCAGCAGGUUAAUACCCCGCUGUUCUGACGGUACCCAAAGAAUAAGCACCGGCUAACUUCGUG
rnacentral:rRNA from 1 species